rnacentral:rRNA from 1 species
AAGUCGUAACAAGGUCUCCGUAGGUGAACCUGCGGAGGGAUCAUUACAAGAACGCCCGGGCUUCGGCCUGGUUAUUCAUAACCCUUUGUUGUCCGACUCUGUUGCCUCCGGGGCGACCCUGCCUUCGGGCGGGGGCUCCGGGUGGACACUUCAAACUCUUGCGUAACUUUGCAGUCUGAGUAAACUUAAUUAAUAAAUUAAAACUUUUAACAACGGAUCUCUUGGUUCUGGCAUCGAUGAAGAACGCAGCGAAAUGCGAUAAGUAAUGUGAAUUGCAGAAUUCAGUGAAUCAUCGAAUCUUUGAACGCACAUUGCGCCCCCUGGUAUUCCGGGGGGCAUGCCUGUUCGAGCGUCAUUACACCACUCCAGCCUCGCUGGGUAUUGGGCGUCUUUUCGCGGGGGAUCACUCCCCCGCGCGCCUCAAAGUCUCCGGCUGAGCGGUCUCGUCUCCCAGCGUUGUGGCAUCACGUCUCGCCGCGGAGUUCACGAGCCCUCACGGCCGUUAAAUCACACCUCAGGUUGACCUCGGAUCGGGUAGGGAUACCCGCUGAACUUAA